rnacentral:ncRNA from 31 species
UCUGUACUUGUUCGAGAACUCCAAGUAUAAAAAACUAAGGAAUU